UAUCACCAGUGAAUGCUACUUGACUCCGUAACAUUACGUUGAAAAAAUUGCUUUCAGAUGUCAAUAAAAACCAUCACUCUCGUUCAUACUUGUCACUUGAUAUGACUCUGUCCAACUUUGAUCAUCCAUUAUUCCAUUUGAUGCCAAUUAUCUCCCUCUACCAGAGGAUAUUUUGCAGUCUAUCAAAAGAGUUGAAAUCAGAGAAUAUAGAGAGAAAAAAAUGUCUAUUACAAGAAUUGGGCUACAUGGGAUAUUAUAUUACUAAAAAAUAUUUAAUUCCGUAAAUUUUUGAGAUACUUCUUAACAAAUUUAUAACGUUAUUUAUAUUGGUUACUUUUUUUUCUGUUGUUUCCAUCUGUGUUAGAGUGACGAAACAUGAUACUAGAGCUCUAUACAGGCUUGUUGUUUGUAAAUUCAAGCCUGACAAUGUAUUUCUGCUCGAUCCUUGUUGGAUAUUUGAGCAGAGUCUCUGCCACACCCUAGGGGGAGCGCAGAAGGGAAUUGUUUGGCAGUGAAAUGCACAGAUGCUGUUUACAAUUAUCUCAGGUUGGGGUUAUGUACAGCUCUUUGCCUGGAGUGGGACAAAGGACUCCGUUUUGUUAUGCGGCCAAUAUACCUACUGUUCCUGCCCUGCGAAAUUAUAUAUUAAACUCAGAACUCGCUGAUGAGUUCUCUUUAAAUGAGAUUUAUGACAGCGUUUAGGGUUUCUCAGACCCUUUUCCUUUUCUGUCUUUCUAAUUUUUACCUUUAAAUCUUAAUUAUCAAGUUCAGGCUGCGUCAAUGUAUGUUUUAAACUCAGACCUCACUGAUGAGUUCAGGUUUAGUUGGUGAAUGCUGUGGGGUCGAAGGGGAUGGUCUCCAAAGUUGGCAAUGGAUUAGUCUUGAGUUCAUAAUCA